GCCCUCUACUGCAGCACAUAUAAUAAAACAGAAAUGAUAUAGAAAUUAACAUGGCCCCAAUACAAGGAUGACAUACAUAUUUGUGAAGCAUUCCAUAUAUUU